AUGGCUUCGAAGAUCGCCAGCAUGUCCUCCUCUCUUGCGGCGCUCCUCCUCGGCGUGCUGCUGCUCUCACGCGGCGGCAUCGGCAACGCGGCGCGGCACCUGGAGGAGCCGGAGCUGCCUCCGGAUCUCCCGGCACCUCUGCCCAGGCCGGACGUGCUGCCGCCGCUGCCCAUACCCGACGUGCUGCCAAAGCCCGAGCUGCCGCCGCUGCCCACACCUGACGAGCAGCCCAGGCCGGAGCUGCCGCCGUUGCCCAUACCGGACGUGUUGCCAAAGCUACCGUUGCCGGAGCUGCCGCCGUUGCCUACACCUGACGUGCUGCCGGUGCCGGAGCUGCCGCCGCUGCCCAAACCUGACGUGGAACCAACGCCAGAGCUGCCACCCGUGACCAAGGGUGAGGAGCGACCGAAGACGGAGCUGCCGCCGCUGCCAACCGGUGAGAUCGCACCGGAACCGGCUCUGCCGCCUGUUCCUACAGGCGACCUUCCGCCCAAAGGGCUACCCAAGAUAGACGAGCCGACGAAAACGGAGCUGCCUCCACUCCCGACCGGUGACCUUCCGCCGAAGCCAGAGGUCGAGCCACCACCCAAGACAGAGGAGCCACCGAAGCCGGAGCUGCCUCCACUCCCUACCGAUCCGACUUUAGGAAAACAAAGUGAAGCCCAGCGACCCCUUGAGCAUCCAGAAAUAAGAGAGGAGUGGAUGCAGGAGGCUCCUCAGCGAUUAGAGCUUCUCGGCCGUCCGAUCAUUUUCCUGAUGUCGUUUGGGCCGUCCGAUCUCGCCGCUGGAUCGUCUGGGCCGUACGAUAUUUACCACAUCGUCUACAGCCGUCGGAUAUAUUUCCCUAUGAGCGGUGACCCGCCCGGACGUGCCACCGCGCGUUAUUUUGGUGCCCCGCCGGGGCCCUCGUUCCCUUCCUCCCCUUCCCUCGCGCCGCCGCUCUCCUCCCUCGUCGCUCUCUCCGGCCUCAUCCGCCACCGCUCCUAUGAGCCUCCUCCUCCCCACGAGAUCCCUUCUGCUCGAGUCGCCGAGGAGCACCUUCCCCUCCCCGUCCCCAAAGGCAGCUCCGCACUCAACCCUAACCCUAGACCGCGCGCCCGCCCACCCCCGCUGCCUCGAGGCUUGAGCCCGCCCGCGCUGAUGGAGCCCAAGCAGCCGGCGGCCAACCUCGCCGCCGCCGCCGCCGAGCCGGAGGAGGACGAGGCGGACGAGGAGAUGGAGGACGCGCUGCUGGACCGCGCGCAGGCCCUCAUCUCCCGCGCCGUCGAGCAGGAGGCCAACCCCAACCCGCCGCACGGCGACUCCUCGCGCUCCAGCCGCCGCGUCCCUCAACGUCAGGGCAACAUGACCAUCGCAGCCAAGGCUGGAGUCACGUUGGAAAUCCCAAACGGGGCUGUGCUCGAGAACAAGAGGCUCACAGUUAAACAAGAAGGCCAGGCUCCAGCCAGUGAUGUUGAGGCUGCCUAUACAACACAGACCCAUGCCACUUACAAUCACGUAUACUUGGAGUCCACAUCCAAGAUCAAAGCAUCUAGCUCUGUGCACUCAGGCAGGCUGGGUGGGCUCCUCGUCGGCGUCGGCUUUCCCUGCCUGCCACUGCUUUCUGAUGGAGCGGACCUUUGGAUGCUCCUGUGCCUCUGGUGUGACACUGAAUGGUUUGGCUGGUCCACAACACAGUCUCAGGGAUGGAUGGUCAAGUUGUAUAUGGCUUCCACCAUGUACGAGAUGAAAAGCCAUAUCUUGCUCAAGGACCAGUUGCAAAUAAGGGCAGUUAAAGAGUGGAUGCCCAACUGCUCUGAUGUAGGCCGCUCCGAAUCAAUUAUCCGAUAUAUGGCGUCUCUUGAAGAGGUUAAUGGGAAGGCAGAACUGAUAAGCAUAAGCAUAAGCAGCUAG
rnacentral:rRNA from 1 species